CUAAAGGUUCUUUUCAGAGCCACUACAUUUUCACCAAAAAAGCUAAU
rfam:Heterocephalus glaber contig162315, whole genome shotgun sequence.